UUGAGACCAGUCUGGCCAACAUAGCAAAACCCCAUUUCUACCAAAAAAAAAAAAAAAUUUAGCCAGGUGUGGCGGCGUGUACCUGUAGUCCCAGCUACUCAGGAGGCUGAGGUGGAAAAAGUUGAUAAAGUACCUGGGAGUAGCUUGAUUUCCUAUAGGAAAUAGAUAAAUCCUGUAGUAAUCAUGAUUAGAGGGGAAUUUAUUGUAGCAUUGUAGCACAGUGAGCCAUUAGGUGCCCUGAUAAACUUCUAAUUAUAGUUCUUCACAAAUCUUGAGGUUGUCCUCCAAUACCCACCUGAGAAUGUUUUCUGCCACUCAAAUGAGUUGGAAAUAUAGUCUAUUUCUGCUUUACAUUUCCUUAUUGUUUAUCUGGG
rnacentral:lncRNA from 10 species